UACGUAGGGGGCUAGCGUUGUCCGGAAUCAUUGGGCGUAAAGCGCGUGUAGGCGGUUCGGUAAGUCCGCUGUGAAAGUCGGGGGCUCAACCCUCGGAAGCCGGUGGAUACUGUCGGGCUAGAGUACGGAAGAGGCGAGUGGAAUUCCUGGUGUAGCGGUGAAAUGCGCAGAUAUCAGGAGGAACACCGGUGGCGAAGGCGGGUCUCUGGGCCGAUACUGACGCUGAGGAGCGAAAGCGUGGGGAGCGAACAGG
rnacentral:rRNA from 1 species